UUAAGCGACUAAGCGUACACGGUGGAUGCCCUGGCAGUCAGAGGCGAUGAAGGACGUGCUAAUCUGCGAUAAGCGUCGGUAAGGUGAUAUGAACCGUUAUAACCGGCGAUUUCCGAAUGGGGAAACCCAGUGUGUUUCGACACACUAUCAUUAACUGAAUCCAUAGGUUAAUGAGGCGAACCGGGGGAACUGAAACAUCUAAGUACCCCGAGGAAAAGAAAUCAACCGAGAUUCCCCCAGUAGCGGCGAGCGAACGGGGAGCAGCCCAGAGCCUGAAUCAGUGUGUGUGUUAGUGGAAGCGUCUGGAAAGGCGCGCGAUACAGGGUGACAGCCCCGUACACAAAAAUGCACAUAUUGUGAGCUCGAUGAGUAGGGCGGGACACGUGGUAUCCUGUCUGAAUAUGGGGGGACCAUCCUCCAAGGCUAAAUACUCCUGACUGACCGAUAGUGAACCAGUACCGUGAGGGAAAGGCGAAAAGAACCCCGGCGAGGGGAGUGAAAAAGAACCUGAAACCGUGUACGUACAAGCAGUGGGAGCACGCUUAGGCGUGUGACUGCGUACCUUUUGUAUAAUGGGUCAGCGACUUAUAUUCUGUAGCAAGGUUAACCGAAUAGGGGAGCCGAAGGGAAACCGAGUCUUAACUGGGCGUUAAGUUGCAGGGUAUAGACCCGAAACCCGGUGAUCUAGCCAUGGGCAGGUUGAAGGUUGGGUAACACUAACUGGAGGACCGAACCGACUAAUGUUGAAAAAUUAGCGGAUGACUUGUGGCUGGGGGUGAAAGGCCAAUCAAACCGGGAGAUAGCUGGUUCUCCCCGAAAGCUAUUUAGGUAGCGCCUCGUGAAUUCAUCUCCGGGGGUAGAGCACUGUUUCGGCAAGGGGGUCAUCCCGACUUACCAACCCGAUGCAAACUGCGAAUACCGGAGAAUGUUAUCACGGGAGACACACGGCGGGUGCUAACGUCCGUCGUGAAGAGGGAAACAACCCAGACCGCCAGCUAAGGUCCCAAAGUCAUGGUUAAGUGGGAAACGAUGUGGGAAGGCCCAGACAGCCAGGAUGUUGGCUUAGAAGCAGCCAUCAUUUAAAGAAAGCGUAAUAGCUCACUGGUCGAGUCGGCCUGCGCGGAAGAUGUAACGGGGCUAAACCAUGCACCGAAGCUGCGGCAGCGACACUGUGUGUUGUUGGGUAGGGGAGCGUUCUGUAAGCCUGUGAAGGUGUACUGUGAGGUAUGCUGGAGGUAUCAGAAGUGCGAAUGCUGACAUAAGUAACGAUAAAGCGGGUGAAAAGCCCGCUCGCCGGAAGACCAAGGGUUCCUGUCCAACGUUAAUCGGGGCAGGGUGAGUCGACCCCUAAGGCGAGGCCGAAAGGCGUAGUCGAUGGGAAACAGGUUAAUAUUCCUGUACUUGGUGUUACUGCGAAGGGGGGACGGAGAAGGCUAUGUUGGCCGGGCGACGGUUGUCCCGGUUUAAGCGUGUAGGCUGGUUUUCCAGGCAAAUCCGGAAAAUCAAGGCUGAGGCGUGAUGACGAGGCACUACGGUGCUGAAGCAACAAAUGCCCUGCUUCCAGGAAAAGCCUCUAAGCAUCAGGUAACAUCAAAUCGUACCCCAAACCGACACAGGUGGUCAGGUAGAGAAUACCAAGGCGCUUGAGAGAACUCGGGUGAAGGAACUAGGCAAAAUGGUGCCGUAACUUCGGGAGAAGGCACGCUGAUAUGUAGGUGAAGCGACUUGCUCGUGGAGCUGAAAUCAGUCGAAGAUACCAGCUGGCUGCAACUGUUUAUUAAAAACACAGCACUGUGCAAACACGAAAGUGGACGUAUACGGUGUGACGCCUGCCCGGUGCCGGAAGGUUAAUUGAUGGGGUUAGCGGUAACGCGAAGCUCUUGAUCGAAGCCCCGGUAAACGGCGGCCGUAACUAUAACGGUCCUAAGGUAGCGAAAUUCCUUGUCGGGUAAGUUCCGACCUGCACGAAUGGCGUAAUGAUGGCCAGGCUGUCUCCACCCGAGACUCAGUGAAAUUGAACUCGCUGUGAAGAUGCAGUGUACCCGCGGCAAGACGGAAAGACCCCGUGAACCUUUACUAUAGCUUGACACUGAACAUUGAGCCUUGAUGUGUAGGAUAGGUGGGAGGCUUUGAAGUGUGGACGCCAGUCUGCAUGGAGCCGACCUUGAAAUACCACCCUUUAAUGUUUGAUGUUCUAACGUGGACCCGUGAUCCGGGUUGCGGACAGUGUCUGGUGGGUAGUUUGACUGGGGCGGUCUCCUCCUAAAGAGUAACGGAGGAGCACGAAGGUUGGCUAAUCCUGGUCGGACAUCAGGAGGUUAGUGCAAUGGCAUAAGCCAGCUUGACUGCGAGCGUGACGGCGCGAGCAGGUGCGAAAGCAGGUCAUAGUGAUCCGGUGGUUCUGAAUGGAAGGGCCAUCGCUCAACGGAUAAAAGGUACUCCGGGGAUAACAGGCUGAUACCGCCCAAGAGUUCAUAUCGACGGCGGUGUUUGGCACCUCGAUGUCGGCUCAUCACAUCCUGGGGCUGAAGUAGGUCCCAAGGGUAUGGCUGUUCGCCAUUUAAAGUGGUACGCGAGCUGGGUUUAGAACGUCGUGAGACAGUUCGGUCCCUAUCUGCCGUGGGCGCUGGAGAACUGAGGGGGGCUGCUCCUAGUACGAGAGGACCGGAGUGGACGCAUCACUGGUGUUCGGGUUGUCAUGCCAAUGGCACUGCCCGGUAGCUAAAUGCGGAAGAGAUAAGUGCUGAAAGCAUCUAAGCACGAAACUUGCCCCGAGAUGAGUUCUCCCUGACUCCUUGAGAGUCCUGAAGGAACGUUGAAGACGACGACGUUGAUAGGCCGGGUGUGUAAGCGCAGCGAUGCGUUGAGCUAACCGGUACUAAUGAACCGUGAGGCUUAACCUU
rnacentral:rRNA from 1 species